UACAGGAGGUCUCGAGCGUUAAGGCGGAAUCACUGGGCUUAAAGCGUGUGUAGGUGGAUGCCUAAGUACCUUGUGAAAUCCCACAGCUUAACUGUGGAACUGCUUGGUAUACUGGGUGUCUUGAGUCACUCAGGGGCGAGCGGAACAAAUGGUGGAGCGGUGAAAUGCGUAGAUAUCGUCUGGAACGCCGAAGGUGAAAACAGCUCGCUGGGGCUGCGCUGACGCUGAGACACGAAAGCCAGGGGAGCGAACGGG
rnacentral:rRNA from 1 species